UUUGCCCCAAAGACUUGAUAAAUCUUUCUUCUCUUCCAUUUCCCCCAGUCCUUUUUGCCCUCCAGAUGAGAAAGCAAUGGUGAGUCCUCUGGAUUCCAAUCAUGGGUUCCAGUGGAAGUUUCAGAGAAUCCCAGUGUAAGGAGGGAUGAGCAAGAGAAAAUGCCCGAAUACUCCCCUGGUUUCCUCUGGUGCCUUGGCCACAGAAACAUCCAAGCCUUGUUCCUAUCUGUGUUGAAACACAGCCACCUCCGGGUAGCGACAUGGCAGCUGCUAGCCAGCCCCAUCGCACAGCUGGUUUUGAACAGGAAAUGAGGGAGACCUUCUCUAGGGAAAAGUACAGGGAGUUUUUGGUGAGCAGAAUGCAAUUACCCUGGCUGGAAGUAUGCCAGGGUAGGAUGGUGCACUCCUGACUGUUGCAAAGGCACCGUGGGGGCUCCUCUCCCACGUAGACUGUGUUUUAAACAGAAGACAGACUGAAAAUAUAAUUAUGAUCAUCUUAAUCACUAUAAGGUAAUUAUGAUGAUGUUAAUAACUGUAAUAGUUUUCAAUAAAGAUUCUGUAACUUUCUCAGGUUGAGAAGACCAGUGGCCACAACAGUUGAAAACAAUAAAUUCAUAACAAAUGAUGGAUCAAUACUGGCAGCAUUACCUAGACGAACUCCUUCAAAAUUACUGACGGGCGUGCAUCGGUUCUCUACCAAGUGCUGGUGACCGUUUUUCCAGUCAAUAUUUGGCCUGCUCCUGCCACUGUGGGAAGCAGAUUGGACCCAGGGCACCAUGACUUCCUUUUGAGCUUGCCUUCACCUUGGAGUUUCACAAAACCUUUUCACAGCUGCUCCCUCUGUGCCCGCGUGGCAAAUUUGAUAAGCAAUUUGAAAAGAUUGUGUUUUGUUAUCCCCAGUUUAUGGGCGGGAAAACUGAGGCUUGAAGACAUAAAUGGACUUUGCAAGCCUACGUUGGUGAAGUGUCAGAGUGAUUAUACCACAUUAGGCCCUACACUUCACUGUCUUCUGGAGAACACUUGAAUAAUGCACAUCAUUCUUCCUUCUAGAAAUGCUAAUUUAUGUUUCUCAACAUAUUUUUAGUGCCGGAUUUCAGAAUUAUGUAAGAUGUAGUUUUGAAGUUGGAGCCAUCAAAAAGUUCAAUCAUGACUAGUUGACUAGAAAAUAUAUUUGAUAAUAAAAAUUCAGUUCAAAAAAAUGGAUUACAUAAUCCAUUUUGCUAAACAUAGCCUGUAAGAAUCUAAUGAGAGUCAACUCUGAAAUCAAUCACUCGAGAAGCUAAAUUGUUAAAGUUCUUGUAAAGUAGUUUCUUGAUAAAUGGCAUUCUUUGACAGAGCGGCUGGGUAAAUACGGUACACUCAUGAUUGAUCCUCAAGAAUCUUGAGUUAUUUUUAAAAUGAUAUUUCAUUUUUAUAUUGAUAUGCGGUCACAAAGAAUGACACACAUGGAUUCAAAUUCUAGUUCCCUCAGUAUCUGAAUGACCUUGGAUGUGGCCCUUCAUUCUGGAGUAGACGUCAGGAGGUGGAAUAGGGUUGACAUUACGUGCGUAGCUAAGGGAUGAUUAAAUGAUAUAUAGGAAAAUGCUCAGGAUGACAUCUGCCACACAGUAUGUGCUUCAGAGCUUAAUAAAAUUACUUCCAGUAGUUA